rnacentral:pre_miRNA from 1 species
CGGGAGUGGUCGUAUCCUGGGCUGUGUCCCCGGCGCCUUGUGCUCCCGGGCCUGCGCUGUUGGAUUCGUGCUCUGGGCCGGGCAGCCCCCU